GACGAACGCUGGCGGCGUGCCUAAUACAUGCAAGUUGAGCGAUGAAGAUUGGUGCUUGCACCAAUUUGAAGAGCAGCGAACGGGUGAGUAACGCGUGGGGAAUCUGCCUUUGAGCGGGGGACAACAUUUGGAAACGAAUGCUAAUACCGCAUAACAACUUUAAACAUAAGUUUUAAGUUUGAAAGAUGCAAUUGCAUCACUCAAAGAUGAUCCCGCGUUGUAUUAGCUAGUUGGUGAGGUAAAGGCUCACCAAGGCGAUGAUACAUAGCCGACCUGAGAGGGUGAUCGGCCACAUUGGGACUGAGACACGGCCCAAACUCCUACGGGAGGCAGCAGUAGGGAAUCCUCGGCAAUGGACGAAAGUCUGAACGAGCAACGCCGCGUGAGUGAAGAAGGUUUUCGGAUCGUAAAACUCUGUUGGUAGAGAAGAACGUUGGUGAGAGUGGAAAGCUCAUCAAGUGACGGUAACUACCCAGAAAGGGACGGCUAACUACGUG
rnacentral:rRNA from 1 species